GUGCCCGAAAGGGAAUCCGGAACGACAGGGUGCUGCAUGGCUGUCGUCAGCUCGUGUCGUGAGAUGUUGGUUAAGUCCCGCAACGAGCGCAACCCUUAUCAUUAGUUGCUACACAAGGGCACUCUAAUGAGACUGCCGGUGACAAACCGGAGGAAGUGGGAUGACGUCAAGUCUCAUGGCCCUUAUAGGUGGGGCUACACACGUCAUACAAUGGCUGGUACAAAGGGUUGCCAACCCGCGAGGGGGAGCCAAUCCCAUAAAGCCAGUCGUAGUCCGGAUCGCAGUCUGCAACUCGACUGCGUGAAGUCGGAAUCGCUAGUAAUCGUGGAUCAGCAUGUCACGGUGAAUACGUUCCCGGGUCUU
rnacentral:rRNA from 1 species